CUCUGAAUCCAAUAUCCUGGACCCACCUGUUCAGCUCUCAAACUCCUCAUCCUAGUUGACCAAGAACUUGUGAAAAAAAAAAAUGGAGAAGGAAUAUCCUGAAUCAUUUACCUAGAACUUGGACAGGGUGUAAACAGGUCAAAGGCAAAGUAACUUCUAAGAAAUCAGAAAGAUGUGGGAGUACCGGAAUGAUGUCCUGCAAGGCCGUGAUGUUGACAGAUGCCAAGACUGGUUUGAUGGUGAGUGGAGAAUGGGAUCACCAAUGAAAAUUUACAUUAAAUACUGUAAGUUGACUUCUGUUCAUCUGUUACAUCUCAGAUCAUAUGUCACUUUUUCAACUAAGCUUUCCUUGACCUCCAAGAUCAAGUGAUGCAAUCCAUUCUCAUUCCACCUGACCUCAUUUUGCUGUUCCCUUCCUGGUAUUCAAUUCCCAGCAGAGGACCUCUUUCUGCACUGAUGCAUGGUUUGAAGAAUCAUGGUGGGAAAUCCUUCAGCCUGAAGAAAGGCAGGGAAAUUUGAGCAACACCCACCCAGAAGGCUUUUCUCCCCACCUUGGGAUGUCAGCAGGUUGGAAGGAAACCAAGGAUAUUAUUAGCCUCUGAAGUUGAGUGGAGGGUUAUCUGAUCCUCGAAGCCAGUGGUCUUUAACCUGAAGCAUCUAUAUCUCUGAAGAUUUAUAAAUAUUUUCCCAAAAGAUACAUAAACAAAUUUGGUUUUGGAUCAACUACCAUAUGAAUUCUUCUAAUAUUUUUUAACUGAGAAGUCUCCUGGAAUUUCUCCUUUUUAUGUCAUAGUCUCCUGUUUUCCAUAAAAAAUGAAAAAAAAAAAAAACUUUUGCCCACUGAGAAUCUUAUUAUGGUGCAUUGCACUCACAUGAAAAACUUCCAGGGCACCAAAUAAAAGGAUAAUCAAAACAUUAAAAAUAUUUUAUU